rnacentral:tRNA from 1 species
GGGGCGUUAGCUCAGUUGGCUAGAGCACCUGCUUUGCAAGUAGGGGGUCCGGGGUUCGAGUCCCCGACGCUCCACCA